UUUUUCGGCUAUGAAUAAUUCUAUGUCUAAAUCAUAUUCUAAACUGUCUUUUAAUUCUAGUUGUUUUAUGGUUUUAUUUAUCCAAAUUAAUCUUUCUUUUAAUUGUUCUCUUCCUUUUCUAAGCUGGUUUCUAUAAUUAAUUUCUUCGUAUAGCCAACUUUGUUUUUCUCUAACUCUUUGAAUAUAUUCUAGCAUUUCUUAAUCUGUAUAAUAUCCAUCUGAAUAAUUAUCUAGGUAGUAAUAGUGAUUGUCAUCACUUAAGUAUAUUUCUCCUAACUCGUCUUC
rnacentral:lncRNA from 1 species